rnacentral:rRNA from 1 species
AUUGAACGCUGGCGGAAUGCUUUACACAUGCAAGUCGAGCGGCAGCGCGGGGGCAACCCUGGCGGCGAGCGGCGAACGGGUGAGUAACAUAUCGGAACGUACCCCGUCGUGGGGGAUAACACAGCGAAAGCUGUGCUAAUACCGCAUACGACCUGAGGGUGAAAGCGGGGGAUCGCAAGACCUCGCGCGAUGGGAGCGGCCGAUAUCGGAUUAGCUUGUUGGUGAGGUAAAGGCUCACCAAGGCGACGAUCCGUAGCUGGUCUGAGGAGGACGACCAGCCACACUGGAACUGAGACACGGUCCAGACUCCUACGGGAGGCAGCAGGUGGGGUAAGUUUUUGGACAAGUGGGGGCAACCCUGAUCCAGCCAUUCCGCGUGAGUGAAG